AGAGCAAGCGAUGCCGUAUGCAGUGGCCUGCAGCAAGGCAAACCUCCCUUUCGAUCUAAAAACACAAGGGUGGAUAUUAAUAUAGCUACGUAUGUAAAUAUAUAUACAUAUCGAGGGUUUUAUUUACCUACAUACAUAUUCAUACACACGUAUCAUCCAUAUGUGUAUCUAUACACACACACCUCAACAGCUAUAUUUACAUGCAUCUAUAUCGUGUCUAUCUUAUCUACACACACAUAUAUAAUAAUCACUAGAUGUGUACACACAUACACCCCCAUAUCUGUAUCAGCUGUAGAAUUAUCUCUUGAAUAUACACAUAGAAAAACAUAUGUCAUGCAAACGCUGGUUUUAAUUGGAGCCUGGAUUUUUACAGUAAAUGGCCACAACCACCGCCCUGCUAUGAACCGAUCAACCCUAAGGAGGAAAGAUACACUUUUUUUCCCUUAAAAGGUUUACUAAACACUAUCCUAUGUGUGUGUAUACGUCUAUAUAUAUACACACACGCACACGCGUAUACAUAUAUGUAGAGGAUAUAUUUAUAAAAUAAAAGAAAGAUGUCAAAGCACAACUCACAGCUCCCAAGAGCCUAACCCGUGGAUUUAAAAGCUAAACAUCACAAGUUAGGGUCUCAGGGAUUGAGAGGGGCGCAACAAACUAGUUCUUGCAAAAAAAAACCCCACCAAACGGGGAUCAAAAAUAAAAAGGUAAAAAGGAGAAAGAGAAAAAGAAUAGCAGGCAAGUUCAAUUCAUGGCUCGAGAUUACAAAACAGGACACACAGGUGGAAAGAAAGAGCUUCUCUGUUGAGAGAAUACAUUCCAUUUUUAAUCGUUUAUACAAAAAUGACAAGGCACGGCAGGUUCCUUACAGCUCCCAACAAGGUCGCUUGCGCCAAACGCAUGAAAAAAUCUCCGCAUUUAAAUAACGAAGAGGAAGAAAGAAAGGGAAGCUCGGGGCAGUGACGGAAUUAUUUUCAUUGUUUCAACGAAAAGGAAUGCAGAAAUAAGAGCAGGAAUAUGCAGGCUCUCCCUCCAGCCGCCUGGCACAAAGCGUGCAGCAGCAUAAAGGCGCUGCCUCCCCGCCCCCUCCGCGGCCGGCGGGGAUGGAGAAAAAACCCCCGAGUUGCGAGAAAAAUCAGGGAAUAUAUCAAGGAAAAGAAAAGGGGGGAAAAA